CCUACGGGUGGCUGCAGUCGAGAAUCAUUCACAAUGGGGGAAACCCUGAUGGUGCGACGCCGCGUGGGGGAAUGAAGGUCUUCGGAUUGUAAACCCCUGUCAUGUGGGAGCAAAUUAAAAAGAUAGUACCACAAGAGGAAGAGACGGCUAACUCUGUGCCAGCAGCCGCGGUAAUACAGAGGUCUCAAGCGUUGUUCGGAAUCACUGGGCGUAAGGCGUGCGUAGGCUGUUUCGUAAGUCGUGUGUGAAAGGCGCGGGCUCAACCCGCGGACGGCACAUGAUACUGCGAGACUAGAGUAAUGGAGGGGGAACCGGAAUUCUCGGUAUAGCAGUGAAAUGCGUAGAUAUCGAGAGGAACACUCGUGGCGAAGGCGGGUUCCUGGACAUUAACUGACGCUGAGGCACGAAGGCCAGGGGAGCGAAAGGUAUUAGAUACCCGGGUAGUC
rnacentral:rRNA from 1 species